rnacentral:rRNA from 1 species
GACGAACGCUGGCGGCGUGCUUAACACAUGCAAGUCGAACGGAAAGGCCCUGAUUUUGUGUGGUGCUUGAGAGGCGAACGGGUGAGUAACACGUGAGUAAACUGUCCUUGACUUUGGGAUAAAUUCAGGAAAAUGGGGCUAAUAUAGGAUAGGAGAUUCUGCUGCAUGGUGGGGGAUGGAAAGUUUCGGCGGUUGGGGAUGGACUCGCGGCUUAUCAGCUUGAUGGUGAGGUAGUGGCUUACCAAGGCUUUGACGGGUAGCCGGCCUGAGAGGGUGACCGGCCACAUUGGGACUGAGAUACGGCCCAGACUCCUACGGGAGGCAGCAGUGGGGAAUAUUGCACAAUGGGCGGAAGCCUGAUGCAGCAACGCCGCGUGCGGGAUGACGGCCUACGGGGUGUAAACCGCUUUCGCCUUUGACGAGGCGUGAGUGACGGUAAUUGGUAAAGAAGCACCGGCUAACUACGUG